UACGGAGGGUGUAAGCGUUAUCCGGAUUUAUUGGGUUUAAAGGGUCCGUAGGCGGACUCGUAAGUCAGUGGUGAAAUCUCAUAGCUUAACUAUGAAACUGCCAUUGAUACUGCGGGUCUUGAGUAAAGUAGAAGUGGCUGGAAUAAGUAGUGUAGCGGUGAAAUGCAUAGAUAUUACUUAGAACACCAAUUGCGAAGGCAGGUCACUAUGUUUAACUGACGCUGAUGGACGAAAGCGUGGGGAGCGAACAGG
rnacentral:rRNA from 1 species